GGUCACAGCUUGACCCUAGAGACUUUACUUUAACAGUGAGAAAACUGACUCUUCAAGAUUCUGGUGAUUUCAUUUUUGUCUCAGAGGUGUUUCGCGAGCAAAGGCCUGCAGUCACCAUCACUCUGCAAGUUCAUGAGCCCAUAACUAAACAGCCUGUCAUAAAAAUCAGUUCUACCUGGAUUUCCUCAAAUGAAUCAUGUAAAGUUCUGCUGGAGUGCAGCACAACUGGUGAUGUCAGCUACAAGUGGACUGUAGGAAACCAAACACUAACUGGUCCCAGUCAACAAUACAUCAUCAGGGAGCAGGAUGGAGAGACCAAUGUCACCUGCACAGUUUCCAAUUAUGUCAGUGAGAAGUCUGCAUUUCAAACAGUGAAGUGCAGCAAAGAUCAUUCACACAGAAAAGAAACAGAGGACAGCUCUUCUUCUUCUCUUCUCAUGUUCAUUACUG